GACGACGCUGGCGGCGUGGAUUAGGCAUGCAAGUCGAACGGUAGGAUACCUUCGGGUAUCUGAGGGUGGCGAACGGGUGAGUAACACGUAGGUGAUCUACCCUCAAGAUUGGGACAACCCAGGGAAACUUGGGCUAAUACCGGAUGAAAGCAGCAGUGAUGUUGUUUGAAAGGUGGCGUAAGCUGCCGUUUGGGGAUGAGCCUGCGCUCUAUUAGUUAGUUGGCGGGGUAAAGGCCCACCAAGGCGAUGAUAGAUAGGCGGCCUUAACGGGUGGUCGCCCACACUGGGAUUGAGAUACGGCCCAGACUCCUACGGGAGGCAGCAGUCGAGAAUAGUCUACAAUGGCCGAAAGGCUGAUAGUGCGACGCCGCGUGAACGAAGAAGCCCUUCGGGGUGUAAAGUUCUUUUAUAUGUGAGCAGUGCUUUCUAUGUGAACAGCAUGGGGAGAGAGAUAUUAGCAUAUGAAUAAGCAACGGCUAACUCCGUG
rnacentral:rRNA from 1 species